rnacentral:rRNA from 1 species
GGAGGCAGCAGUGGGGAAUAUUGGGCAAUGGGGGCAACCCUGAUCCAGCAAUGCCGCGUGUGUGAAGAAGGCCUGCGGGUUGUAAAGCACUUUCCGAAGGGAGGAAAAGCUAUAGGCUAAUAUCCUGUACUCUUGACGUUACCUUCAUAAGAAGCACCGGCUAACUCCGUGCCAGCAGCCGCGGUAAUACGGAGGGUGCAAGCGUUAAUCGGAAUUACUGGGCGUAAAGCGCGCGUAGGUGGUUUGUUAAGUCGGAUGUGAAAGCCCCGGGCUCAACCUGGGAAUUGCAUUCCAUACUGGCAGACUAGAGUAUGGUAGAGGGAAGUGGAAUUCCAGGUGUAGCGGUGAAAUGCGUAGAUAUCUGGAGGAACAUCACUGGCGAAGGCGGCUUCCUGGACCAAUACUGACACUGAGGUGCGAAAGCGUGGGUAGCAAACAGGAUUAGGUACCCUGGUAGUCCACGCCGUAAACGAUGAAAACUAGUUGUUGGAGAGGUUAAACUCUUUAUUGACGCAGCUAACGCAUUACGUUCUCCGCCUGGGGAGUACCAU